rnacentral:tRNA from 1 species
AAGACAUUAGUAAAAUAAAUUACAUCACUUUGUCAAGGUGAAAUUGCAAGUUAGACUCUUGUGUGUCUUU